rnacentral:rRNA from 1 species
UACGUAGGGGGCAAGCGUUGUCCGGAUUCAUUGGGCGUAAAGAGCUCGUAGGCGGUCUGUCGCGUCGAUCGUGAAAACUUGGGGCUUAACCCUGAGCUUGCGGUCGAUACGGGCAUGACUGGAGUUCGGCAGGGGAGACUGGAAUUCCUGGUGUAGCGGUGAAAUGCGCAGAUAUCAGGAGGAACACCAGUGGCGAAGGCGGGUCUCUGGACAGUUCCUGACGCUGAGGCACGAAGGUCAGGGGAGCAAACGGG